GGGCAGAUGGCCGAGUGGCUAAAGGCGGCAGACUGUAAAUCUGUUCUCGAAAGGGUACGAUGGUUCGAAUCCAUCUCUGCCCACCA
rnacentral:tRNA from 1 species